rnacentral:rRNA from 1 species
UCGGGGGAGAGGCUCCCAGCUAGACUACUGGGUUGAUAGGCAGGAUGUGGAAGUGGGGACUAAAGACCCAUGCAGCUGACCUGUACUAAUAAGCCGAUAACUUGACAACACACA